AAUUAAUCCAACAUACGUUAAAAUCUCAGGCCAAAAAUCAACCUAUGACUGCGCUAUCUACGUUAUGAAGUGGCUUGAGUUAAUUGAGCCGGAAAAUAUUAAAAGGGGGAAGUAUGAAUGGGAUAAUUGACCACAGGAGGAGGUGGACCACUACAGAGUAGAAUAUGCCUCGCGGAUACUAUUCAGUGAAUUGAAUAAAGAGAGAGAUCAAGCAAUUAGAGCGAGUAAUGCAAUAAGACUGUCGAAGCCAUCGUCAGUAUUAUUGAGUCCAUUUUGUCAGAUUAAGUCUACUGAUGUAG